UACGUAGGGACCAAGCGUUGUUCGGAUUUACUGGGCGUAAAGGGCGCGUAGGCGGUCAGCACAAGUCAGUUGUGAAAUCUCCGGGCUUAACUCGGAAAGGUCAACUGAUACUGUGCGACUAGAGUGCAGAAGGGGCAACUGGAAUUCUCGGUGUAGCGGUGAAAUGCGUAGAUAUCGAGAGGAACACCUGCGGCGAAGGCGGGUUGCUGGGCUGACACUGACGCUGAUGCGCGAAAGCCAGGGGAGCGAACGGG
rnacentral:rRNA from 1 species